UUUUUUCUAUUUUUUUUUUUUUUUACUUUUUUGGUUGCCACUUCUGCCGGCUUGUCUUAAAAUAUGUGAAACUCAAUAUCAAAGUCAACUUACAGGGCAGUCAUUUUAAAUUGCUCAUGGGCACUGUGGUACUAGCUAGUAUGUUACUUAAAACUUAGUACGAAGAAGUGCUGCUAAAGAUUAUCAAUGUUGUCCCUUUUCAUGCUACUUGCAUAUACAGACAUUUAU
rnacentral:ribozyme from 14 species